UUCACCGAGGGCAAUGGCAAACAAUGGGAAUUUGGAGAGCACAGAGAAACAUUUUAAAAUGGUACACGUGAGCUACGAUAGUUAACACGCUGCAAAAGUGUGUCCCAUUCCUCCGAGUCUGGUCUCGACAAAGGUAGGCAGUGACUUCCUUUCCACAAACUCAAACUCUUGUAUCGACUUUAUUUUUCUUUUCCGUUCAUGUUCAGGGCUGUUGUGGCUGUUGCUCAUCAUGGCAUGCGUGAGUUAGUGCGUGCGUUCAUCCAAGUCCAAUUUAAUAACGACAACAUGAGGAAUAAAUACUUUUGCUAGCUUUAUUGAGCAAAUACAGAAAACAACAAAUACAUUAAGAAGGGCCCUAAGAAUCCCAUCAGCUGUGAACUAUUUUCAAUAUAUGCCAGUACAAAGUAUCAAAGGUUUUUAACACAAAUACAUAAUGGUAAUCCAUCAACUAGUAAUGUUCUUAAAUAUAGAACUUGACCCCCCUGAAAGAAACGUUACACUAUUACAUUUAUUCAUGUGAUAUUAUUCGGAAAAUUCUCACCAUGCAUCACCACCACUCAGGACGCCACACAAGAUAGUCGAUAAGGUGGUGACAGUGCAGCUUAAAGUUAGUCAGACUAUUUUUGGGGGCUAGGCUCUUAGAGGAUGAUAUCUAAGUAAUAAGUUGGUUUGGGCCAUCAUUUCAGUGGAACCAAAAUGUCAGUGAUUCAGUCAGGCAAAACAAAUCCGUGUGAGUCUUCUGGUGUCAGAAAAAAA